UACGUAGGGGGCUAGCGUUGUCCGGAAUUACUGGGCGUAAAGGGCUCGUAGGUGGCCAACUAAGUCAGACGUGAAAUCCCUCGGCUUAACCGGGGAACUGCGUCUGAUACUGGAUGGCUUGAGUUUGGGAGAGGGAUGCGGAAUUCCAGGUGUAGCGGUGAAAUGCGUAGAUAUCUGGAGGAACACCGGUGGCGAAAGCGGCUCACUGGCUCGGUUCUGACGCUGAGGCGCGAAAGCGUGGGGAGCAAACGGG
rnacentral:rRNA from 1 species